CAGUUUGAUAAAUAUUAAGUGACUAUUACUUGGUUCUGGAAAUGGCCAAAUGGCUUGCCCUUGAGAAAACUCACAACCUAAAAGUGAUAAAACAUACACAAAUGGGGGGGGGGCAGGCAUAUUAACACCAUAAGUGAGAUGUAGAUAAGGAGAUUAAGGAAAGAGUUCAUGAACAAAGUGACAUUUGAGAUGAACUUCAUCAGGCAGAGUUAGUGGGGAGUGUACUCUAAGCAGAGGCAGUAUUUUGAGUCAUGAGUGUUUAGAGGCGGAAAAUACAGGCAUACUUGAAGAGUAGCGAGUAGACCACUAGUAGCUGGAGCAUAGCUUACUUGCUUGGUAGUAGCAGGACAUGAGGUCAGAAAGGUUGGUUGUGGUCCUGGUUUGAAGCACCUUAAAUAUCAUAUUGUGAAGGAUUGGAGUUUUCUUUCCAUCAUUCAAUAGCUAGCUUGGGGAUCAGUGGUAAAUAAAAACAGGCAUGAUCAUUGUCCCCAUGGAGUUUAGAGCCUGAUGUUAUUAUAAUCCUAGAAAUACAUGUACAACUGCAGUUGUCAUAAAUGGUACCAAACAAACAAACAAACAAAAGUACAUGGUGCUACGAAGAUAUUUAAGAAAAAAACUUGAGCUAGACAAGGAGAUUAGGAAAGGUUUUCUUGAAGACAUGGCAAAUGAGUUGAGAUGAGAGGGAUGUCAACUAGGUAAAGAAAGAUAACAAAGAAGGAUGGAAAGUGGAUUUGGGGUAGAGAGAGUAGCAUGUGCAAAUGCCUUUAGUAGGGAGGCAGCUGGGUAAUGGAAAAGGCAAGUAUGAGAGACUGACAGGUCAGAAUGGUAGGAGCAGAAAGGGUCCAGACCUUGUAGACUUUACGGACUUGGAUAUUUGUCCUAAGAGUGAUCGAAAGCAGGGAAUUGACAUAAUCCAGUUUUCAUUUUAAAAGUAUAAUUCUGGCUGUAAUGUGGAAAGUAAAUCAGUGACUUUCAGUCAAGGUGGUUCCGUAAAUUCACACUUUGAUAUACGACGUCUGUACCAAAUAUGUAUCAAUGAUAGAUGAACUAUAGAAACUGCAAACCAAAAGGAUAUUGCCAAGCUCAAAAACAAUGCAAAACACAAGUGAACUCUUGAGUAGUUGAAACCAGAGGCCUGCUUAGCUCUGAGUCCUAGAAUAGGCAUGGAGGCAGGGAUUUCAACUGCUUUGUGGUAGUAAAGAUUAAAAGUGUGCCAGGUGAGAUAGGACAAAGUCAGAUUUAUUGUUUAAAGCUGGAGCAAGAGUAAGCCUUCUCAAAAUGGCAGCACAUCUGAGGUGAGGGAAAAACAAAACAAAACAAAACAAAACAAAAACCUUUUUACUACCAUUUGAAGUUAAUGCAGUAUAACAAGUUGCAAGCCCAGGGUUGAAGACAGAAGAUAUAGUCUUACAAUCCACCAGUGACAGGAUCUGUGAUAUUCCUAUCACCUCAGGAACUAGGAAGACUAGUAAUUCCAAAACUUUUAGGUAGGGAUAGGAUCGAUAUAAUGGAAGUUAAGAACAGAGAGAAUGUAUAAGAGAGAAAGAACAAACAAAAACUCUUAACUUAAAAUGAAAAUGAAUAUACAAACUGAAAGUCCAAAGUGUGAGGAAAUUUAAGGCUAAAAAAGAAAACCAACAAAACACACAUUCACGGAUCAAAUUAAUUCAUUGAAGGUUCGAGUAUUUUAAGGUAUGUUUAGGGGCACCUGGAUGGCUCAGUCAGUUAAGCAUCUCACUCUUGAUUUUGGCUCAGGUCAUGAUCUUAGGAUCGUAAGAUUGAGGCUGGUGUAGGGCUCCAUGCUAGUGUGGUUCUGCUUAAGGUUCUUUCUCUCUUUCCAUCUCCCCCUACCCCAGGCUCUCAUUCUUUAGAGCUCUCUCUCAAAAAAAUAAAAGUAUGUUUUAUAUGCUCAGAUUCAAAUAAAUUAUUCCAUUUAAGGCAAGCAAGGAAAUAUGAAACAAAAAACAGGCAGAAGUAAAACAAGAACCAGAUGGAUGUUUGAAAGAAUCAGUUAAAACUCUUGAAUGAAAAAUAGUCAUUGAAAUAAUUCAGUAGACAUUAUAAAUUCUAGACUGGCCACAGUGAAAGAGUUCAUUAAUUGGAAGUUGGUACUGAGAAACUCACCCAGAGUUAAGCACAGAGAAGAUAAAUUUAGAUAGGGAGAGACCAGUUGGAAAUGGAUGAAUCUUCAAAUAUUUAGGAAAUAAAACUGGGAGAAUUUGAUAUUGAAUUAGAUAGGGGCUUGUGAAUUGGAGAACAUGAUUAAGGGUGACACCAGGGUGUGAAUUUGUUUAACAGGUUGGAAGGUGAUGCCCUUUACUGAGAGAUUGGAAGGGGUUUGGAAGGAAAAUCAUGAGUCUGGUUUUGGAUGUGUUGAGUUUGAUUCCUCCAGGAUAUUCAAAGGGAGCUACCUAAUAGAUAGUCCAGCAUAUAGCCCUAGAGUUCAGAAGAGAGGUCUGGGAAGGAUAUAGAAAUUUUUAACUCAAAUGCCUGUGGGUGAUAAUUGAAAUCAUAUGGAAGGAGAAAGACAUUCUAAGACAGAGCUUUAAGGACUUCAAUACAUAACUCUGUAUAGAAGAGGAUAAGCUUGCCAGAGGACGUGGAGAAGUGUCAGCAGAGAUGGGAGGUAAACUAGAAGAGUUAUGUUAUUUUAUGGCAGCCAAGGGAAGGCUGAGGUAGCCAAGGAAAGAGUGUUUCAAAAGGCAGGCAGAGAUUAAUAUUGUCAAAUAUUACACAACUAUCAUGAGGAGUGAGGAUCAGGAAAUAUUAUUGAAUAUAGUGAAAAGGAGAUGAUUGGUUUACUGUAGAGUGAGCUAUAGAAGUAGAGGGAAGGGACAAACAGCCAAAUGGAGUAGCUUGAGGGUUGUAUAGGAAAAACACACUGUGUGUUUCUCCUUUUUCACUCACAUAGAACAUUCCACACUUAAAUUCUGACAACAGAUGUGUGUUUUUCACACAUCAAGCAAUUAUCUGUGAUAUCAGCUGGUUGGCCUAUAAUUGAAUUAAAUUUUUGACAUUAACUGGAGUUAGUGCAGACUCCAUAGGUUAAGGGCUCUGCCCCACAGGACUUUGCAUCUCCCUCAGACCCCAGUUGUAAGUCCCAGGUUGUCACCUGCUCUUCUGACUGAUCAGCUGUAAAUCGGAGGUUCCCAUGACCCCUCCUUGAGUGUCAUCAUUUUCUAGAAUGGCUCUCAGAACUCAAGGAAACACUUAUUUAUGAUUACUGAUUUAUUAUAUAAUAAAAGAUAAGAUAAAGAAUACAGAUGAACAGCCAGAUGAGGAGCUACAGAAGCCAGGGUCUGGAAGGGUCCUGAGGACAGGAGCUUCCAUACAAGAGGAGUUGGGGUGUGUGCCAUGCUCCUGGCAUGUAGGCAGGAGCCUACCUAGAGCUUCUAGAGCAACCUAGAAGCUCUCCAAAUCCUAUACGUUAGGAAUUGUAUGGGGCUUCAUCAUGUAGGCACGAUCAUUAACUCAAUUCCCUACCCCUCUUCCUUUCCUGGAGGAUCUGCGUACUGGGGCUGAAAGUUCCAAGCUUCUAAUCAUGGCUUGGUCUUUCUGGUGACCAGCCCCUAUGCUAAAGCUACCCAGGAGCCCACCAAGAGUUACCUCAUUAGAACAAAAGAAGAACAAAAGACACUCCUGUCACCUAGGAAAUGCCAAGGGUUUUAGGAGCUCUGUGCCAGGAACUGGGACAGUAACUGAUAUGUAUUCCUUCCAUUAUUUCACAAGGAGUAAAGGAAAUUAAGACAGGAAGCAGGGAGGAUAAAACUGGGCAGUAUCUGAAAGGGGAUAGAUUGAAUGGACAAGUGGGAGACGAUCCAGAUAGGGGUUGAAGCUGACUAUGUACAGGAAAAGGAGUGAAUGAUAGUGUAUUCAAGAACGUGGAAAACAACAGGAUCCAAAGCGUAGAGAGUGGAAUAACCCAAAACAGCAAGUGUGGAGGGGAGGAGAUGCAGCUCUUUUCCAACAGAGGGUAUACUGUUUGUCUAUGGAACUUUUUUCACAGAGCAUUUUGAAGGACAUAUUAUUCAAAAUACACUUGGGGAAUUUUUGCCUUAAAAUGUAACUGUCUUCAGAACUUUCUAAGUCAUCAAGUACUAUUCACUUGUUAUAUGAGAAGCUAUAACAGAUAUUCAGAAUUAAUGUUUUUAAUGCUUUUUAAUCCUGGACUCCUUUUAGAAUAAAUUAAAGGUAAUUUUAGAUAGUAAAUGUUCUUUACACUUUCUUAAGAUUAGUCUGUAAGAGCAAAGAAAUUGUGUAUUAAUGUAGUUUUAAGCUUUAUUUAAUUUUGCUUGACCUUGCUACUAAUAACACCUACAUUUUAGUAUAAGGGUGUUCUUCUGAUAGGCUUGAUCAUUUUAUUACUGUGUUGAGGCAAAAAAAAAAAAAAAAAAAA